UACAUGUGGGGCAAGCGUUGUUCGGAAUUACUGGGCGUAAAGCGCACGUAGGCGGCUUUGCAAGUCAGAGGUGAAAGCCCGGGGCUCAACCCCGGAAUAGCCUUUGAGACUGCAUCGCUAGAAUUGUGGAGAGGUAAGUGGAAUUCCGAGUGUAGAGGUGAAAUUCGUAGAUAUUCGGAAGAACACCAGUGGCGAAGGCGACUUACUGGACACAUAUUGACGCUGAGGUGCGAAAGCGUGGGGAGCAAACAGG
rnacentral:rRNA from 1 species